UGGGGAAUAUUGGACAAUGGGCGAAAGCCUGAUCCAGCCAUGCCGCGUGUGUGAAGAAGGUCUUCGGGUUGUAAAGCACUUUAAGUUGGGAGGAAGGGCAGUAAAUUAAUACUUUGCUGUUUUGACGUUACCGACAGAAUAAGCACCGGCUAACUCUGUGCCAGCAGCCGCGGUAAUACAGAGGGUGCAAGCGUUAAUCGGAAUUACUGGGCGUAAAGCGCGCGUAGGUGGUUCGUUAAGUUGGAUGUGAAAUCCCCGGGCUCAACCUGGGAACUGCAUUCAAACUGACGAGCUAGAGUAUGGUAGAGGGUGGUGGAAUUUCCUGUGUAGCGGUGAAAUGCGUAGAUAUAGGAAGGAACACCAGUGGCGAAGGCGACCACCUGGACUGAUACUGACACUGAGGUGCGAAAGCGUGGGGAGCAAAACAGGAUUAGAUACCCUGGUAGUCCACG
rnacentral:rRNA from 1 species